UGAGGAAUAUUGGUCAAUGGUCGGGAGACUGAACCAGCCAAGCCGCGUGAGGGAGGAAGGUACAGAGUAUCGUAAACCUCUUUUGUCAGGGAACAAAGGCGGGGACGUGUCCCCGGAUGAGUGUACCUGAAGAAAAAGCAUCGGCUAACUCCGUGCCAGCAGCCGCGGUAAUACGGAGGAUGCGAGCGUUAUCCGGAUUUAUUGGGUUUAAAGGGUGCGCAGGCGGUCUGUUAAGUCAGCGGUCAAAGCCCGGGGCUCACCCCCGGCCCGCCGUUGAAACUGGCAGUCUCGAGUUGGAGAGAA
rnacentral:rRNA from 1 species